rnacentral:lncRNA from 1 species
UAAUUUAUAAUGAGAAUAAUUGGAUAAAGCUUUGAAUGAGAAAGGUUAACUGUUGCUGUCCUUACUCUUGUAAAACUCCCUCAAGGUCAAUAAACACCCUGGCAGGCCUCCUCUACUCACUGUCCUUUUAGAAACUCUACAUCUUUCCCUUUCCACUGCCUUGACAGUCUGGCUGACCCAACAUAACAAAACCACUGCUUCACUGUAGGAUGCCGAUUACAUCCAUUAAUUCAUAUUAAGGUGCUGGUGACUGAUAGUGGUUGGAUGUAUCAUCCUUCCCAGAUGUUUUUGCAUUAAAAAAAAUACAAUUGAUCCAUGCCUGUUGAUAAAAAUGGCAAAUCCAGAUAAGC